rnacentral:ncRNA from 12 species
GGGAGUAACUCAGUUGGUAGAGUGGCAGCCUUCCAAGCUGCAUGUCGCGAGUUCGAUCCU